UACAGCGGGAAGCCAUGUGGCGACACAGAGCGGAACCCGAAAACCUGUCUCAGUUCGGAUUGGAGUCUGCAACCCGACUCCAUGAAGCUGGAUUCGCUAGUAAUCGCGCAUCAGCCAUGGCGCGGUGAAUACGUUCCCGGGCCUUGUACACACCGCCCGUCAAGCCAUGGAAGCCGGGAGUGCCUGAAGUGCGUGAGCGCAAGUAGCGCCCUAAGGUAAAACCGGUGACUGGGCUAAGUCGUAACAAGGUACC
rnacentral:rRNA from 1 species